GACGAGGGAUCCUAGCGUUGUUCGGAAUCAUUGGGCGUAAAGCGGGUGUAGGUGGCUUUGUAAGUCAGGUGUGAAAUCCUGGGGCUCAACCCCAGAAGUGCAUUUGAUACUGCUUAGCUUGAGUGCCGGAGAGGUUAUCAGAAUACCUGGUGUAGUGGUGAAAUACGUAGAUAUCAGGUGGAACACCGGAGGCGAAGGCGGAUAACUGGCCGGACACUGACACUCAGACCCGAAAGCGUGGGGAUCAAACAGG
rnacentral:rRNA from 1 species